rnacentral:rRNA from 1 species
AUGGCUGCAGCGGCGAUUUCCGGCGGUCACCUCGUCCUCUCCACCCCUACCUCCACCCGGCGCCCACGGUCGCUCCCCCUCCGUCCGCCCUCAGCGCGACCAAUCGACGCAUCCUCCGCCUCCGCAGCCCGCCGCGGGGUCGCGGCCGCCGCAGUGUCCAGCCCUGCCGCGGUCCCCUCCACUGGGAAAGAUGCAAAACAGCUUCCUAAGGAUUUUCUUCAUAUCAAUGAUUUUGACAAAGAUACAAUCAUGAAGAUCCUUAACCGAGCAAUUGAGGUUAAGGCAAUGAUAAAGUCAGGAGACAGGAGCUUCCAACCGUUCAAAGGAAAGUCGAUGGCAAUGGUCUUCGCCAAGCCGUCAAUGAGGACCCGUGUUUCGUUUGAAACAGGAUUCUUCUUGCUUGGUGGGCAUGCUGUUUAUUUAGGUCCCGAUGAUAUCCAGAUGGGCAAGCGUGAGGAGACCCGUGAUGUUGCUCGUGUACUUUCUGGAUAUAAUGACAUCAUUAUGGCCAGGGUUUUUGCUCACCAGGAUAUUUUGGACUUGGCAAAAUAUGCACCUGUACCUGUCAUAAAUGGCCUUACAGACUACAACCAUCCGUGCCAGAUAAUGGCUGAUGCGCUCACUAUGCUUGAACAUGUUGGGCGUAUUGAAAACACCAAGGUUGUCUAUGUUGGAGAUGGCAACAAUAUUGUACACUCAUGGCUUCUAUUGGCUGCUGUGAUUCCCUUCCACUUUGUAUGCGCUUGUCCUAAGGGCUUUGAGCCAGAUGCCAAAACUGUGGAGAUCGCUAGGAGUGGUGGAAGUAAGAUUGAAAUAACAAAUGAUCCCAAGGAAGCAGUUAAGGGAGCAGAUGUUGUGUAUACAGAUGUUUGGGCCAGCAUGGGCCAAAAGGAGGAAGCUGAAUAUAGGAAAAAAGUAUUCCAAGGAUUCAUGGUGGAUGAAGCCCUGAUGGAGAUGGCUGGUCCAAAAGCCUUCCUCAUGCAUUGUUUGCCCGCGGAGAGAGGGGUGGAGGUAACAGAUGGUGCCAUCGAGGCUCCCAACUCGAUCGUAUUCCCCCAGGCAGAGAACAGAAUGCACGCGCAGAACGCAAUCAUGCUUCAUGUGCUUGGAGCUUGA